rnacentral:lncRNA from 1 species
CUCGCAAAAAAAGGACAAGUGUCCGGCAGUAGAAUUAGGAGUACUUCGGUAUCCACUUAAAAAAAAGAGAGAAAAAGAGAAAAUGAUAGCCCAUGGUCCCUCUAAUAAGCAAUAUGCCAGCAAGAGUUGACAAAGAUUUUAAUUUCUAAAGUCUUUGAUCUAAGAGUAUGACAUUCCCCUCCUCGGAUCCCGUUUUGAUCAGGCAAUAAAUGCAAAGUAAGUAUGCUUGAGAAUUUUUG